AUCAGUAUUAUUAUUAUUCUAUUCUUCUCAGGCUUCCUUAUAGCUGAGGCUUUGCUGCUUGACCCUCCACUCUUGUUCCCUCCACCUGAAAUGCCUUUUAGCCACAUCUAACUAAAAGGAGUCUGGCCACCAGCAUGAAGUAGAGGCAUUUCCAUUAUUUUCACCUCACCAUCUAACUCAUCAGCUUGGGGUUGUAACAUGGGAUAAACGUCCAGGACAUCAGAGGAAAGAGAAGACCCCAGUUUUCUCUGGACCAGCCAACAUCCCUCCAUCCCUGCCCAUGGAGAGCUUUCUCUUGUGCUAGCUGUUUUUCUUCUACUUAGCUCUCAGGAUCCAUAAACUACCAGCUUUGCCAAAGAUGAAAGAACAGACCACACUGUAGCCAGUUUAUGUGUCCCCUAUAUCCUGAGGCUUCUCUCUACUAUUCUCUCAAGAAGCAGGAACCAGCCAUCCUGGGCCUUGCAAUCACCACUGUUUUAUAGCUGGUCUCAGUACUCUCUGUCACAUCAGAGAAACCCAUAUGUGCCAUCAUGAAAGACCAG
rnacentral:lncRNA from 1 species